UUCCCAAUUAGUCCAGCUCCAACCCUUAUCAAGCCAUGACAUUAUACCUGCAACGCAACUUCCUUCGCAGACAGGCGUGCACGGCCUGCAUUUAGCCCCACUUAAUGGACCUGGGCUCGACAAUGCCGCCACAGGGACCCCAAACCGGUAUGGCGGGAAACCGUACUUGCGGUCCGACACAAUGCAGAAAGGUAGGCGUUUGGUGAUGAAGGGUACGCCGUAGGUGGUGAGUUGGGCCUUGAAUGAGGUUUCCGAGUUAAGCAUGCGUAACCCGGCGGAGUCUAGUUUGGGGAUGAGAGAGAGACGAGA
rnacentral:misc_RNA from 1 species